GAAAUGCGAUAAGUAAUGUGAAUUGCAGAAUUCAGUGAAUAAUCGAAUCUUUGAACGCACCUUGCGCUCCUUGGUAUUCCUUGGAGCAUGCCUGUUUGAGUAUCAUGAAAUCUUCAAAGUAAAUCUUUUGUUAACUCAAUUGGUUUCUACUUUGGUAUUGGAGGUCUUUGCAGCUUCACACCUGCUCCUCUUUGUUCAUUAGCUGGAUCUCAGUGUUAUGCUUGGUUCCACUCGGCGUGAUAAGUUAUCUAUCGCUGAGGACACUGUAAAAGGUGGCCAAGGUAAAUGCAGAUGAACCGCUUCUAAUAGUCCAUUGACUUGGACAAUACUUUUAUGAUCUGAUCUCAAAUCAGUUAGGACUACCCGCUGAACUUAAGC
rnacentral:misc_RNA from 1 species